ensembl:lncRNA
GGUUAGGGUUAACACUAGGUACACACCCUGUAUGGUAGGGGUUAGGGUUAACACUAGGUACACACCCUGUAUGGUAGGGGUUAGGGUUAGUGUCAACACUAGGUACACACCCUGUAUGGUAGGGGUUAGGGUUAGAGUCAACACUAGGUACACACCCUGUAUGGUAGGGGUUAGGGUUAGAAUCAACACUAGGGACACACCCUGUAUGGUAGGGGUUAGGGUUAGAGUCAACACUAGGUACACACCCUGUAUGGUAGGGGUUAGGGUUAACACUAGGUACACACCCUGUAUGGUAGGGGUUAGAGU